UUUCCGUAGGUGAACCUGCGGAAGGAUCAUUAACACGAAUUAUUUAUUAUCCAAUAUCAAAAACCAAACGUGAACUUUUCCCCUCCCUAUAUAUAUAUGUAUAUAUAUAUAGGCUAACCUCAUAUAAUUUUUAACACUUUAAACUUCAACUAGUUUUAAUGUAACCAUUAAAACAUCUAAACUAAAAAAGACAAGGUUAUUCGAAAGAGUAAACUUUAACUUUUUUCGAUCUACGAAAAAUUUAAAAGAACAACUCUUAACAAUGGAUAUCUUGGUUCUC
rnacentral:misc_RNA from 1 species